UACGAAGGGGGCUAGCGUUGCUCGGAAUCACUGGGCGUAAAGCGCACGUAGGCGGAUUCCUAAGUCGGGGGUGAAAUCCUGGAGCUCAACUCCAGAACUGCCUUCGAUACUGGGAAUCUUGAGUCCGGGAGAGGUGAGUGGAACUGCGAGUGUAGAGGUGAAAUUCGUAGAUAUUCGCAAGAACACCAGUGGCGAAGGCGGCUCACUGGCCCG
rnacentral:rRNA from 1 species